AACGAACGCUGGCGGCAUGCCUAACACAUGCCAGUCGAACGAGACCUUCGGGUCUAGUGGCGCACGGGUGCGUAACGCGUGGGAACCUGCCCUUAGGUUCGGAAUAACUCCCCGAAAGGGGUGCUAAUACCGGAUAAUGUCUUCGGACCAAAGAUUUAUCGCCUUUGGAUGGGCCCGCGUUGGAUUAGCUAGUUGGUAGGGUAAAAGCCUACCAAGGCGACGAUCCAUAGCUGGUCUGAGAGGAUGAACAGCCACACUGGGACUGAGACACGGCCCAGACUCCUACGGGAGGCAGCAGUGGGGAAUAUUGGACAAUGGGCGAAAGCCUGAUCCAGCAAUGCCGCGUGAGUGAUGAAGGCCUUAGGGUUGUAAAGCUCUUUUACCCGGGAUGAUAAUGACAGUACCGGGAGAAUAAGCUCCGGCUAACUCCGUG
rnacentral:rRNA from 1 species